rnacentral:rRNA from 1 species
GACGAACGCUGGCGGCGUGCUUAACACAUGCAAGUCGAACGCUGAAGCUUGGUGCUUGCACUGGGUGGAUGAGUGGCGAACGGGUGAGUAAUACGUGAGUAACCUGCCCUUGACUCUGGGAUAAGCCUGGGAAACUGGGUCUAAUACUGGAUACGACAUGUCACCGCAUGGUGGUGUGUGGAAAGGGUUUUACUGGUUUUGGGUGGGCGCACGGCCUAUCAGCUUGUUGGUGGGGUAAUGGCUCACCAAGGCGACGACGGGUAGCCGGCCUGAGAGGGUGACCGGGCACACUGGGACUGAGGCACGGCCCAGACGCCUACGGGAGGCAGGAGUGGGGAAUAGUGCACAAUGGGCCGAAGCCUGGAGGAGGGACGCCGCGUGAGGGAGGACGGCCUUCGGGUUGGAAACCUCUUUCAGCACGGAAGAAGCGAAAGUGACGGUACGUGCAGAAGAAGCGCCGGCUAACUACGU